CCUUUGGUGUGUGAUGGCCUUCCCCUCCCUUGUGCUGUUUAACGAGCUCUGCCUUGGAAUUUCUCACCAAGUAUUUGUGCAGAGUUCAUUCCUCCUGCUGCUUUACCUUCAAUCCAGCAUGCUUGCCUGAAGGCCCUCAGGCAGCCCCUGGUUCUGUGCUCUGUGUUUGGCUGGUCAGCGUUCUUCUGCCAGGUGGUCCCCUCCUGCAGUUCAUUACCUGCCUGGGUUAAAGCUCCUGCUCAGAAAGUGAACGUAACCUUGUCUUCUCCGAGUCACCGACAAGCUCGUGACAAAGAAGGGGACCCAGAAGUUCUCAGGGCCUUGACAGCGAGAGCAACAGCAAAUGGUGUUGGAGAGUUUCUGUGAGCCCCUGUUUGGUGUUCCAGGUGCUACAAGGCUUUGGUCAAAUGGCUGGGAGACACUGGACCCUUGAUGAGCAUUGACUGUGCUUGUGGAGGGCCUGGCCACGUGGGCAUUCCUGGGAGGAGGAGUGCCCUGGAGUGAGUGCAGUGACCCCUAAAGUUGGAGAGGUGCUUGGGAUGACACAAGGAGGCUUUGGAGAAACCAUUUUCCAGACUCCCACUUGUGUUGAAAGGU